rnacentral:rRNA from 1 species
CUGCUCAAUGAUUUUUUAAAUUGCUGUGGUAUUUUGACUAUACAAAGGUAUUGUAAUAAGAUUUUAAUUGAAUGCUAAAAGAAUGGAAAUUUAAAAAAAAACUUUUUUAAAAAUAAAAAUUGAAUUUUUUUUAAUUUGUGCAAAAACAAUUAUACUUAUUAAAGACAAGAAGACCCUAAGAAUUUAAGAUUUUACAAUUAAAAAGUUUUUUUUUUAAAAUCUUGAUUGGGGCGAUCAAAAAAUAUUAAUAACUUUUUAAAAUUUAAAUUGAUCUAUUAUUAAUAAACUAAUGAAUUAAAUACUCUAGGGAUAACAGCGUA